UACGUAGGGGGCAAGCGUUGUCCGGAAUCAUUGGGCGUAAAGAGCGUGUAGGCGGCCUGGUAAGUCCGCUGUGAAAGUCCAGGGCUCAACCCUGGAAUGCCGGUGGAAACUGUCAGGCUCGAGUCCGGAAGAGGCGAGUGGAACUCCUGGUGUAGCGGUGGAAUGCGCAGAUAUCAGGAAGAACACCAACGGCGAAGGCAGCUCGCUGGGACGGUACUGACGCUAAGGCGCGAAAGCGUGGGGAGCGAACAGG
rnacentral:rRNA from 1 species